ensembl:snRNA U6 U6 spliceosomal RNA
GUGCUCACUUUGACAGCACAUAUACUAAAAUUGGAAAGAUACAGAGAAGAUUAGCAUGGCCCCUGCACAAGGAUGACACGCAAAUUUGUGAAGCAUUCCAUAUUUUU